CAUGUACUCCCUUCGUUUGAAAUUACUUGUUGUAGAAAUGGAUGUAUCUAGACGUAUUUUACUUCUAGAUAUAUCUAUUUUCGAGACAAGUAAUUCCGAAGGAAGGGAGUAGUAG
rnacentral:pre_miRNA from 1 species